GAGGGUAUAGCUCAAGUGGUAGAGCACAUGCUUAGCAUACACAAGGUCCUGGGUUCAACCCCAAGUACCUCCU
rnacentral:tRNA from 1 species